CUCGAAAGCCGGCCUUUGCCCACUUUGGCAAACACGAAAAAAGUCAUUUGAAGUAAGCUAUUGUCUAUGAAGCAAUCUCACUGGUUGCUAUGCGUGGCAAAGCAACCAAUCGAGGAUUUUACUGUGUUUACAAAGCACUCAUCUAAACACGAGGGGGGCUAGGAGAAUUUUUGCCGAGUAGCAGUCGAGGGUUUGCAUAACUAUUGAGAAUUCUCCCAAUCCGCGAGUGUUCUGUCUAGAUGAGGCUAUGUAAACACGCGAAAAAGUCCACUGUACUAUUGGAUCCAUAGAGUAUUUCUCGAAACAUAGAAAAAUAACCAUGUUUACAUGCUCUCACGUUAAAACACCUAUCGACCAAUGAGAGCGCGCGUACUAUCUUAAAUAUUUUAUAAUCAAUGAUCUCAUGGGAGCCAUCGAUGUCAUCGAUUAGUCACGUUUGUAAAGAAGGAUCUAUCGUUUCUAAUUUGAGAACCAGUAUUCUACUGGGUUGCCGUGCGAGGUUCAGUGGCCAAAACUUGUAUCCGCUUAAUUCUCUGGUGUGGAUCACUUAGAACACUGAUUUGGGACCAAUAUUCAUUCCUGUUCUUUUCCACAGCUCCUGAUACAAUGAAACUCAUUCAAGUUGCUGCCUUUGUCUUCCUGCUCCUGGUGUCCACUAUCCCUGAAGAAACCGAAGCCGCAGGGGGAAAUAUCCCACUUAGUUGGUUUAAAAGAAUAGCAACAAAACUCGCUGUAAAACUUAUAGUGAAUUCCUUUUACGCCCGCUGCAACUGUCGCAAUGUUCCCGCUGGGAUAAACUGUCCAGGAGUUGUCUUUGGCGUGGGCAGGACACGCAAUGAAGCGCAGAACGCAGCGAGAGCGUAUGCAAAUACAUUUGGAGAUAACAGAUGUGGCACCUACGUCGGACAUUGUCAAAUUUAUCAAUUUAAAGGACGCGGAAAGUAAACCGAGACAACGAAACGAAAAACGUAGAUGAAUUAGAACUACUGGCCAAUGUGCGGAAAAGAAAGCUGGUUUAUUAAUUAAGUAAAUCGUAAAAUCGAUAAAGGCACGUUUUCGAAAUUUGCGUGCUGUUUGUAGAACGAAACUGUGAGUUUUCAUCUCGGUCCUUUUUAAUCAAACUGUAAUGGCUAUGUAAGGGUUAAUAGAUUAAAAUAGGAAAUUUGUUGA